AUGUGUUUUGACAACCAAGUGGUUUCCUUAGCAAACUGCGGGUGUUCUCAGGCAGCUCAGUGGAGAAAGCUCUGGCUUUCAGAUCAAGACCGUACCUCUCAAGGGCUUUCCCUCUCUGAAGCACACGUUGGCUUCAUCCUAAGGCUGUUAUUUGGAUUUGUCCCUGGGCUCUGUGAAUCUGGCUUGUCAGGAAUGGAGCAUCCUUUUCUCCUCUGGCAGCUUGGUUAUGGCACUAAGAAAUCCAAGAUAAAUGGGACACUCUGUGAACGGAGAUUGGAACAGCUGGAUGUUGCUGGACACAACUGCAAUGGUUGGUCAAAUGGGGACAUCUGGUCCACUUCCCCAGAGAUUUAGCAAUGGUGGUAAGGCCAAUAAAGAUAAUCCAAUCGACCA
rnacentral:lncRNA from 1 species